rnacentral:tRNA from 1 species
GGCUGGUUGCCCGAGUGGCCAAAGGGAUCUGACUGUAAAUCAGACGGCUCAGCCUACGCAGGUUCGAACCCUGCACCAGCCAC